rnacentral:pre_miRNA from 1 species
AGAGAGAUUGCUGGAUCAUAUGGUAAGAGUAAGUUUAGUUUUGUAGGAAACUGCCGAACUAUCUUCCAAAGUGGCUGUACCGUUUUGCAUUCCCACCAGCAAU